rnacentral:rRNA from 2 species
AGAGUUUGAUCCUGGCUCAGGAUGAACGCUAGCUACAGGCUUAACACAUGCAAGUCGAGGGGCAGCAUUUCAGUUUGCUUGCAAACUGGAGAUGGCGACCGGCGCACGGGUGAGUAACACGUAUCCAACCUGCCGAUAACUCGGGGAUAGCCUUUCGAAAGAAAGAUUAAUACCCGAUGGUAUAAUCAGACCGCAUGGUCUUGUUAUUAAAGAAUUUCGGUUAUCGAUGGGGAUGCGUUCCAUUAGGCAGUUGGUGAGGUAACGGCUCACCAAACCUUCGAUGGAUAGGGGUUCUGAGAGGAAGGUCCCCCACAUUGGAACUGAGACACGGUCCAAACUCCUACGGGAGGCAGCAGUGAGGAAUAUUGGUCAAUGGGCGCAGGCCUGAACCAGCCAAGUAGCGUGAAGGAUGACUGCCCUAUGGGUUGUAAACUUCUUUUAUAUGGGAAUAAAGUUUUCCACGUGUGGAAUUUUGUAUGUACCAUAUGAAUAAGGAUCGGCUAACUCCGUGCCAGCAGCCGCGGUAAUACGGAGGAUCCGAGCGUUAUCCGGAUUUAUUGGGUUUAAAGGGAGCGUAGGUGGACAGUUAAGUCAGUUGUGAAAGUUUGCGGCUCAACCGUAAAAUUGCAGUUGAUACUGGCUGUCUUGAGUACAGUAGAGGUGGGCGGAAUUCGUGGUGUAGCGGUGAAAUGCUUAGAUAUCACGAAGAACUCCGAUUGCGAAGGCAGCUCACUGGACUGCAACUGACACUGAUGCUCGAAAGUGUGGGUAUCAAACAGGAUUAGAUACCCUGGUAGUCCACACAGUAAACGAUGAAUACUCGCUGUUUGCGAUAUACAGUAAGCGGCCAAGCGAAAGCAUUAAGUAUUCCACCUGGGGAGUACGCCGGCAACGGUGAAACUCAAAGGAAUUGACGGGGGCCCGCACAAGCGGAGGAACAUGUGGUUUAAUUCGAUGAUACGCGAGGAACCUUACCCGGGCUUAAAUUGCAUUUGAAUAUAUUGGAAACAGUAUAGCCGUAAGGCAAAUGUGAAGGUGCUGCAUGGUUGUCGUCAGCUCGUGCCGUGAGGUGUCGGCUUAAGUGCCAUAACGAGCGCAACCCUUAUCUUUAGUUACUAACAGGUCAUGCUGAGGACUCUAGAGAGACUGCCGUCGUAAGAUGUGAGGAAGGUGGGGAUGACGUCAAAUCAGCACGGCCCUUACGUCCGGGGCUACACACGUGUUACAAUGGGGGGUACAGAAGGCAGCUACCUGGUGACAGGAUGCUAAUCCCAAAAGCCUCUCUCAGUUCGGAUCGAAGUCUGCAACCCGACUUCGUGAAGCUGGAUUCGCUAGUAAUCGCGCAUCAGCCAUGGCGCGGUGAAUACGUUCCCGGGCCUUGUACACACCGCCCGUCAAGCCAUGAAAGCCGGGGGUACCUGAAGUACGUAACCGCAAGGAGCGUCCUAGGGUAAAACUGGUAAUUGGGGCUAAGUCGUAACAAGGUAGCCGUACCGGAAGGUGCGGCUGGAACACCU